AACGAACGCUGGCGGCAUGCCUAACACAUGCAAGUCGAACGAGACCUUCGGGUCUAGUGGCGCACGGGUGCGUAACGCGUGGGAACCUGCCCUUAGGUUCGGAAUAACUCCCCGAAAGGGGUGCUAAUACCGGAUAAUGUCUUCGGACCAAAGAUUUAUCGCCUUUGGAUGGGCCCGCGUUGGAUUAGCUAGUUGGUAGGGUAAAAGCCUACCAAGGCGACGAUCCAUAGCUGGUCUGAGAGGAUGAUCAGCCACACUGGGACUGAGACACGGCCCAGACUCCUACGGGAGGCAGCAGUGGGGAAUAGUGGACAAUGGGCGAAAGCCUGAUCCAGCAAUGCCGCGUGAGUGAUGAAGGCCUUAGGGUUGUAAAGCUCCUUUACCCGGGAUGAUAAUGACAGUACCGGGAGAAUAAGCUCCGGCUAACUCCGUG
rnacentral:rRNA from 1 species